rnacentral:misc_RNA from 1 species
CAGGAUCAUAAUGGAAAUCCCUAUUGAGUUGAUGUUAACCAUAAGCAAGAAGCUCCCAUGGAUGUUUUUUCCUGACAUAAUACCUGUUGGUCAUCCAAUAUUCGAUAUUAUCAACUCAACUGACCCAGAGACAGAUUGGGACCUGAGGUUGGCAUGCCUUCUUUUAUAUGCAUUUGAUUGUAAGGAUAACUUUUGGCAGCUAUAUGGUGACUUCUUACCUAGUGUGGAAGAGUGCACUAGCUUGCUUUUAGCUACAGAGGAG